rnacentral:rRNA from 1 species
UACGGAGGUGGCAAGCGUUGUCCGGAUUUACUGGGCGUAAAGAGCGCGCAGGCGGUCGGAUAAGUCGAAUGUGAAAGCCCCUGGCUCAACCAGGGAGGGUCAUCCGAUACUGUUCGACUCGAAGGCAGGAGAGGGAAGCGGAAUUCCCGGUGUAGUGGUGAAAUGCGUAGAUAUCGGGAGGAACACCAGUGGCGAAGGCGGCUUUCUGGCCUGUUCUUGACGCUGAGGCGCGAAAGCUAGGGGAGCAAACGGG